UUCAAUAGAUGGGAUCGAUGGGAAUGAGUGUUUGAGGUGGCUUGAUAAGCAGCCCAAUGGGUCAGUUUUAUUUGUUUCAUUUGGGAGUGGUGGGACUCUCUCACAAGAGCAACUGAAUGAGUUGGCCUUGGGUCUUGAAUUGAGUGGGCAUAGAUUUAUUUGGGUUGUCAAGAGUCCAAACGAGACAAUGAAGAAUGCUUCUUUUUUUAGCGUCCAAGGUGAAGAGAACCCGCUUGGGUUUCUACCAAACGGGUUUCUUGAGAGAACAAAAGAUGUGGGUCUAGUUGUGCCGACGUGGGCCCCACAGGUCGAAGUGCUGAAUCACAGGUCAACGGGCGCGUUUUUGACCCAUUGCGGGUGGAACUCGACACUAGAGAGCAUCGUGCAUGGUGUGCCUCUGAUUGCUUGGCCGCUCUAUGCAGAGCAAAAGAUGAAUAAGGUGCUUCUAGUUGACGGUUUGAAAGUUGCAUUGGGGGUUAAGGAGAAUAAGAAGGGAAUAGUGGAAAGCCAAGAUGUUGCUACUUAUGUUAGGGACCUCAUUGAAGGAGAUGAAGGAAAAUUGCUAAGGAAGAAGAUGGAAGAGUAUAAAGAGGCUGCCAAAUUGGCUUUGGCAGAAGAAGGGUCGUCUACCAAGUCACUUGCUGAGGUUGCUCAAAUAUGGAAGGGACUCAAGAACUAAUUAAUAUCCUAAUUUGUCAAUUAUUGCUGUCUAAUUCACCAAUGACACUGUGCUGUUUCCUUUGCUUUUAUCUUAAAUGAUAUCUUCUUUACUGUAUUCACAUUACUUAUGAUUUUUCUAGUCGAGUAUGAUUUUAAUUUGAAUACGCUACUAUUUCUCGCUCAUGAAUAAGUCUAAUUUUCUGUUGAAUCAAAUCGAAAAUACAUGUUUCUAAUUCCGUCCAAAAAGUUUUGGAAUGAAUAUAAAUUCCAAUUCAAAAUUAUAGGAGUUGUAUAGCUCCAAUUAUUCCAAGAUAAAAAGUAUCAUAUCUCCUCUCUCUACAUAAUAUAUAUUUUUUGUUGUAAACAUUGGUGGCUGACCAUUAAAUGAUGUAAUGGAUGACUAUAUCAACCACUUUAGAGCACUGUAGCUUAGCUGGCAAUAAGGUAACAAGCACUAUCAUCUAUGCCUAUAAAAGGGAAUGUUGAAGAUGAGAGCAAAUAUAUAGAAGCCACAAAGUUCACGGAAGAGGAAGAGAGAGGAAGAGGAGAGGAGAUAAUAGAGAGAGUUAUUUUUGUACUCAUAUUAUUUCAAAUUAUAAUGAAAGUACCACUGUUAUACCGAUGAUGUACUCCAGUCACACUGACUGUAGAGGAACCUCGUAAAUUUUGUGUCUUAUUUCAUUUAUUCCACUACACACAUGAUCGAUUUUACAACAGUUAUCAACACAAGAAGCUCUCAUAUCAGUGGAAAACACAACUCCAUAAAUCAGGUGAAGUACUAUCUACCUCUCACCUCCGUCAGCUAAAAUCUCACAGAAUAAAAGGUAUGUCCAUUUUUUUAUCUCUCCCACCGCGCCAGAAGCGCCCCACCGAAUUUUGGUGCGAAUACAACGAACUGAAGUCGUCACGAGAUAAGAAAACUCGUACUUGACAACUGGUUUCCAGAGAUCCAGAAGAAUCUCAUCAGACUUGGAAACCCAUAUCACAUCGUUCUCGAUGGAUCUCAAGGACCUCCAUGAUUCCUUAGUUGUCUGAGAUGGUGAUUAGGGCUGGGUUCGGUUCGAAACGGUUCGGUUUUUUGCCAAAACCGAAACCUAACAGAAAUUUUGGUUCGGUUCGGUUCAAUUUUUUUCGGUUCGGUUUCGGCCUGGUUCGGGUUUUUUUUUUAAAAAAAUGAAUAAAAAUUGAAAUCUAAAAUUUUAACAUCUCCAACACAAUCGUAACAUAAGCAUUCAUACACAAUGAAAAUCAAUAUUUAAAGUUCAACUAGAAUCAUCAAUCAAAUCUUCCAAAGUCCAAACUUAAAAAAAAACAUCAAAGUUUAAGUCUUCAAAAAGUCCAAAUUUAAAAUAAACAUUACACUACUCCAAGUCUUCCACACCUAAAAUAAACAUAAUAAAGUCCAAAUUUUACAGAAAUAUUCCACUUAACUAAAAUCAUAAACUCAAAUAAACCUUCAAGAUUUCAUGUCUUCCACACACUUCUUCUCUUCAACUCCUCAAGUUCAACGUUUAGGCGGCCUAGAAGAGAACAUAGCAGAUUAACAAUGUAACCGUUAUCUCACUAUGUGGUUAAUCAACAUAUAUAUAUAUAUAAGAGGGAGAGGUAUUCCACCGGUUUUUCCGGUUGGACCGGUGAUAAAAACCGGUUCAAUAGAUGGGAUCGAUGGGAAUGAGUGUUUGAGGUGGCUUGAUAAGCUACCCAAUGGGUCAGUUUUAUUUGUUUCAUUUGGGAGUGGUGGGACUCUCUCACAAGAGCAGCUGAAUGAGUUGGCCUUGGGUCUUGAAUUGAGUGGGUAUAGAUUUAUUUGGGUUGUCAAGAGUCCAAACGAGACAAUGAAGAAUGCUUCUUUUUUUAGCGUCCAAGGCG
rnacentral:lncRNA from 1 species